GACGAACGCUGGCGGCGUGCUUAACACAUGCAAGUCGAACGGAAAGGCCCUGCUUUGGGGGGGUGCUCGAGGUGCGAACGGGGGAGUAACACGUGAGUAACCUGCCCUUGACUUUGGGAUAACUUCAGGAAACAGGGGCUAAUACCGGAUAGGAGCUCCUGCGGCAUGGUGGGGGCGGGAUAGUUUCGGCGGUUGGGGAAGGACUCGCGGCUUAUCAGGUUGUUGGAUGGGUAGUGGCAUAGCAAGGCCUUGCAGCGUAGCCGGCCUGAGAGGGUGAGCUGCCACAUUAGGACUGGGCUGCGGCCCAGACUCCUCCGGGACGCAACGGUGGAGUAGAUUGUCCAAUGGGCGGAAGCCUGAUGCAGCAACGCCGCGUGCGGGGUGACGGCCUUCGGGUUGUAUACCGAUUUCGCCUGUGCCGAAGAGUGAGUGACGGUACUAGGUAAAGAAGCACCGGCUAACUACGUG
rnacentral:rRNA from 1 species